CAUAGGUUAAUGAGGCGAACCGGGGGAACUGAAACAUCUAAGUACCCCGAGGAAAAGAAAUCAACCGAGAUUCCCCCAGUAGCGGCGAGCGAACGGGGAGCAGCCCAGAGCCUGAAUCAGUGUGUGUGUUAGUGGAAGCGUCUGGAAAGGCGCGCGAUACAGGGUGACAGCCCCGUACACAAAAAUGCACAUACUGUGAGCUCGAUGAGUAGGGCGGGACACGUGGUAUCCUGUCUGAAUAUGGGGGGACCAUCCUCCAAGGCUAAAUACUCCUGACUGACCGAUAGUGAACCAGUACCGUGAGGGAAAGGCGAAAAGAACCCCGGCGAGGGGAGUGAAAAAGAACCUGAAACCGUGUACGUACAAGCAGUGGGAGCACGCUUAGGCGUGUGACUGCGUACCUUUUGUAUAAUGGGUCAGCGACUUAUAUUCUGUAGCAAGGUUAACCGAAUAGGGGAGCCGAAGGGAAACCGAGUCUUAACUGGGCGUUAAGUUGCAGGGUAUAGACCCGAAACCCGGUGAUCUAGCCAUGGGCAGGUUGAAGGUUGGGUAACACUAACUGGAGGACCGAACCGACUAAUGUUGAAAAAUUAGCGGAUGACUUGUGGCUGGGGGUGAAAGGCCAAUCAAACCGGGAGAUAGCUGGUUCUCCCCGAAAGCUAUUUAGGUAGCGCCUCGUGAAUUCAUCUCCGGGGGUAGAGCACUGUUUCGGCAAGGGGGUCAUCCCGACUUACCAACCCGAUGCAAACUGCGAAUACCGGAGAAUGUUAUCACGGGAGACACACGGCGGGUGCUAACGUCCGUCGUGAAGAGGGAAACAACCCAGACCGCCAGCUAAGGUCCCAAAGUCAUGGUUAAGUGGGAAACGAUGUGGGAAGGCCCAGACAGCCAGGAUGUUGGCUUAGAAGCAGCCAUCAUUUAAAGAAAGCGUAAUAGCUCACUGGUCGAGUCGGCCUGCGCGGAAGAUGUAACGGGGCUAAACCAUGCACCGAAGCUGCGGCAGCGACGCUGAUGCGUUGUUGGGUAGGGGAGCGUUCUGUAAGCCUGUGAAGGUGUGCUGUGAGGCAUGCUGGAGGUAUCAGAAGUGCGAAUGCUGACAUAAGUAACGAUAAAGCGGGUGAAAAGCCCGCUCGCCGGAAGACCAAGGGUUCCUGUCCAACGUUAAUCGGGGCAGGGUGAGUCGACCCCUAAGGCGAGGCCGAAAGGCGUAGUCGAUGGGAAACAGGUUAAUAUUCCUGUACUUGGUGUUACUGCGAAGGGGGGACGGAGAAGGCUAUGUUGGCCGGGCGACGGUUGUCCCGGUUUAAGCGUGUAGGCUGGUUUUCCAGGCAAAUCCGGAAAACUAAGGCUGAGGCGUGAUGACGAGGCACUACGGUGCUGAAGCAACAAAUGCCCUGCUUCCAGGAAAAGCCUCUAAGCAUCAGGUAACAUCAAAUCGUACCCCAAACCGACACAGGUGGUCAGGUAGAGAAUACCAAGGCGCUUGAGAGAACUCGGGUGAAGGAACUAGGCAAAAUGGUGCCGUAACUUCGGGAGAAGGCACGCUGAUAUGUAGGUGAAGCGACUUGCUCGUGGAGCUGAAAUCAGUCGAAGAUACCAGCUGGCUGCAACUGUUUAUUAAAAACACAGCACUGUGCAAACACGAAAGUGGACGUAUACGGUGUGACGCCUGCCCGGUGCCGGAAGGUUAAUUGAUGGGGUCAGCGCAAGCGAAGCUCUUGAUCGAAGCCCCGGUAAACGGCGGCCGUAACUAUAACGGUCCUAAGGUAGCGAAAUUCCUUGUCGGGUAAGUUCCGACCUGCACGAAUGGCGUAAUGAUGGCCAGGCUGUCUCCACCCGAGACUCAGUGAAAUUGAACUCGCUGUGAAGAUGCAGUGUACCCGCGGCAAGACGGAAAGACCCCGUGAACCUUUACUAUAGCUUGACACUGAACAUUGAGCCUUGAUGUGUAGGAUAGGUGGGAGGCUUUGAAGUGUGGACGCCAGUCUGCAUGGAGCCGACCUUGAAAUACCACCCUUUAAUGUUUGAUGUUCUAACGUUGACCCGUGAUCCGGGUUGCGGACAGUGUCUGGUGGGUAGUUUGACUGGGGCGGUCUCCUCCUAAAGAGUAACGGAGGAGCACGAAGGUUGGCUAAUCCUGGUCGGACAUCAGGAGGUUAGUGCAAUGGCAUAAGCCAGCUUGACUGCGAGCGUGACGGCGCGAGCAGGUGCGAAAGCAGGUCAUAGUGAUCCGGUGGUUCUGAAUGGAAGGGCCAUCGCUCAACGGAUAAAAGGUACUCCGGGGAUAACAGGCUGAUACCGCCCAAGAGUUCAUAUCGACGGCGGUGUUUGGCACCUCGAUGUCGGCUCAUCACAUCCUGGGGCUGAAGUAGGUCCCAAGGGUAUGGCUGUUCGCCAUUUAAAGUGGUACGCGAGCUGGGUUUAGAACGUCGUGAGACAGUUCGGUCCCUAUCUGCCGUGGGCGCUGGAGAACUGAGGGGGGCUGCUCCUAGUACGAGAGGACCGGAGUGGACGCAUCACUGGUGUUCGGGUUGUCAUGCCAAUGGCACUGCCCGGUAGCUAAAUGCGGAAGAGAUAAGUGCUGAAAGCAUCUAAGCACGAAACUUGCCCCGAGAUGAGUUCUCCCUGACUCCUUGAGAGUCCUGAAGGAACGUUGAAGACGACGACGUUGAUAGGCCGGGUGUGUAAGCGCAGCGAUGCGUUGAGCUAACCGGUACUAAUGAACCGUGAGG
rnacentral:rRNA from 1 species